UGGGGUAUAGCCAAGUGGUAAGGCAGCGGAUUUUGAUUCCGCCAUUCCUAGGUUCGAAUCCUAGUACCCCAGCCA
rnacentral:tRNA from 1 species